rnacentral:misc_RNA from 1 species
GCAAACUUGGUCAUUUAGAGGAAGUAAAAGUCGUAACAAGGUCUCCGUAGGUGAACCUGCGGAGGGAUCAUUAACGAAUGGUCUUGGUACCUUCAAACCCCUCGAACCAGUGGACAUGAAAAAUGUGUUUCGGCGCUCCGGCGCCGUUUUUAUGCUGUAAUACCGUCUUUUGUGUCUGAAUGCAAAGCAAAGAUUCAAAACUUUCAACAAAGGAUCUCUUGGCUCUCUAGAGGAAGUAAAAGUCGUAACAAGGUCUCCGUAGGUGAACCUGCGGAGGGAUCAUUAACGAAUGGUCUUGGUACCUUCAAACCCCUCGAACCAGUGGACAUGAAAAAUGUGUUUCGGCGCUCCGGCGCCGUUUUUAUGCUGUAAUACCGUCUUUUGUGUCUGAAUGCAAAGCAAAGAUUCAAAACUUUCAACAAAGGAUCUCUUGGCUCUCGCAUCGAUGAAGAACGCAGC